UACGUAGGGUGCGAGCGUUGUCCGGAAUUAUUGGGCGUAAAGAGCUCGUAGGCGGUCUGUCGCGUCGGUCGUGAAAACUUGGGGCUUAACCCUGAGCUUGCGGUCGAUACGGGCAUCACUGGAGUUCGGCAGGGGAGACUGGAAUUCCUGGUGUAGCGGUGAAAUGCGCAGAUAUCAGGAGGAACACCGGUGGCGAAGGCGGGUCUCUGGGCCGAUACUGACGCUGAGGAGCGAAAGCGUGGGGAGCAAACAGG
rnacentral:rRNA from 1 species